CAGGUGCAAGGGGAGGAGUAGCAGCCCUCUAUCGUGUAUGUAUUUCUUGCUAUAAUCUCAACAAUUGUUGUUUACUAGACUACUAGGUGUAUGGUAUGCUAUCAUUGUAUGAACUCUAAAUCUAUAUUUUAUAUUUCAAGUGCUCGUUAUUUUAACUAUGCUCGAAUAAUAUAAUUCUAUGUGCACCCCAUAUGUGUCAUAUGUUCAAAAUUGUAAUUGUUAGUAACGUACUAAUGUUAACACGGGCAUAGCUUGUUCUUGCACCUCCGAUCGCCUUCACCGCCAAGGAUGAUGGGUUAAUAAAUGAACACAAUGCAUCGUCAGGGAGAAGCAUUCCAAAUGCUGCUUACAACUCAUAGCAACUAAAAACUAUCUAUACUGUUUUUAGAGGUGCAACAUUAUGUUGGUGGCUAUAUGCCUCUAUGGGCAUGAUGAUGGUAAUUUUUCAGAUUGAAUAACUGUUUAAUUGCUCUUUUUGCAUAUGUGGUUGGUAAACUCAGCAAAUCAUUGGCCUGGUCAUCACAAUCUUUCCAGGAACAAGAGGUUUUUUAUUCUCAGAAAUCCACAUGAUGUUGAAGGAGACUAGGAAGGGCUUUGAAACAAAAUUAAUGGAAGGGUAGCUAAGCUGGAUGCCUGAGUAGGUGGACAUGGAGAAGUGAAGCAAAUGCUAUCCUUAUUCUAUAUAUGGUCUCCCGAGAUUCGCAGAUUGUUAGUGGCUUCAGUUUUCUACUCAUGAGAUGAUUCAUGCAUGGUUGUGUAAAUAGCUCUCUGGAUAUUCCGGUGUAAUUUUCACGGAUUCACAUCGCCGGAAGGAAAUAAGAAGCCAGGGAAGAAGGUGAACGGACGUUAGGAAGAUUCUAGAGAGAGCGACUAGGCUUGAAUACUUGAUAAGUGGGAAUCCAUGCAUAAAGAAAUCAGGUCCGUGUUUUUUCCACUGCCCUUGAGUUCUACACUUCUUAUAGAGUGAAUCAUCGUCGUCUAAAUUCUCUAACUCAUCUCACGGUGGAGUAAAAUAUCAUGCUUCUACAAAUGAUCUCAUUUGGAAGCAAGGAAAACUCUACUGAAUUUGAUGACAGUCAUGCAGUAUGUCUUUUUGUAUGCGUCUGCAACUUGUUCUGUUUGAAGAUCACCAGUGCUUGGUGCUAUUGACUUGUCUUUUUUCCUUUGUCUUGUGUUUAAAGAGGUGGCAGAUUCAUACAUGGUUGGGGUUCAUGUGAUUGACGGUAAAAAAUAUUUAACAAACCAAGCCAUGAUAUCCCCAGCACAACUGAAACCAAAGGUAAGAACAAAGCUUGUCAGGUAAGGAGGAAUCCAUCCUCUGGUUUUCACCUCUUAUUUUUGAAGAUGGACAACGGGAGAGUUUUCCACAUCAAUUUUUAUUAUAAAUCAGUAACAUACAUAGUAUUUACAACCUUUGUCUCAUUUUCAUGUGCAUAAUGUGUCAUGUUCCGUGUGUUGUUUGAACCAAAAGAAGUACUGUUCGUUACAACAUGUUCUCCUAGGUUUUCUGAUGCAAGUAACCUUGUAGUUACUGUUUUGUAAUGACUUGAUACUGAAGUGUAGAAUCUACAUAACUUAGAAAAUACUUCAGUUAGGAUCUUCCUAAUGGAAAUAAUAUUACAUUGGACUGUAUACGCUAAUCUUGUUUGCUGAAAAAUGAUGAAUUUUAAAGAUAUACACGUAGUAUGUUGGUCUGAACCAAAAUAGCAUCAUGAUGCAGUGCCGUUAUUGAUUUAGGAGGCCUGCAAUCGUGUAGUCGCAGAUACUUCCAAGAUUUGUAUUGAGCCAAGGUUACUGCAAACAUUAGGCUAUUACUGACAUGAUAGUUUAGAAUGAUUUCUGGCUGAUUAUGCUAGAAACUUUAUAUCAUCUAUUUUUAGGGAGCACGAUUCAGAGGUGUAAGUUUGAACCAUGCACAUAGUGCUUCUUUAAUUAAGAAAACUAUGCAGCCUCCAAUUUUUAUCAUUUCUUUUAUUUUUAUUAAUCAAAAUUUCGAGAUCUAGGUUUUAAGGUUUAACAAUGCCCAUGGUGCCUUCAGAUUUGUUUUUUGGAGUUGUGCAUGCGCUUUCUGUUGAGAAUCCUAAUGCAUAGUUAUUCUUUUGAAGUGAAGCUACAUGUUAUUUUGUGAAUGUUUAACAUCGCUAUUGUUGUAAAGGUCUUCCUAAUCUAUUUGGUAAUCUGUUUUGAUUAAGAAAUGGUGCACAAGUUGUUCCAGAUUAAAAAACCCAAUAUGAUACAUGUUAUUUUGUGAAUGUUUAACAUCGCUGUUGUUGUAAAGGUCUUCCUAAUUGGUAAUCUGUUUUGAUUAUGAAAUGGUGCACAAGUUGUUCCAGAUUAAAAAAAAAACCAAUAUGAUACAAUGCCAUAACAGAUUUUGGAGACUUAAGAGAUAUGUAUUGACCCAAGGUUACUACAGAAGGUUGUGGAACGUAGCAUGCCCUUUUAAUGCUGAAAUUAAGAAUGUUUCUUGAAGCCUUGAUGACAUUUAGAACAUCGCCACUAUCUGUAGUAAUCAGAUAUGUUUGUGCCUUCAUAUAUUUUCGUCAUUAGUUGUGUGUUCUUUUACUGGGCAUCCCCAUAGCGCUAUCAAUCGAGAAGUCUAUUGCAUACUAUUAUUUUUUGAAAUACAAUAUAUGUGGAGGCUCAGUCAUUCUCCUGUUGUAAAUGUCUUUCUCAGGAUCUUCUUAGUAUUAGCUAUUAUCAUCAAGGAUGAGGCGUUGGUCCAAAUAUCUGAUUGAGACAGCAACUCUUCCAUUCCAGUAAACUGAAGGUAGUGUAAAGCGACAACGGUAGCAGUGAGAUAAAAUUGAAGAUUGCACUAGGGAUAGAACAUUAGAACACCUGAUGUGAGCUGAUAGGCGUUUGCAGACUCGGAUACAACCACACGUUUUGGAUGUUUUCGUAACAAGGUUACAUUGCUAGCUACACACCCAUAUAAGAGAUUUUUCAGAACCAAACAUUACCUUAGCCAUCGUAAUUUGGUACAGUACAACUUUACGCCAUGAGGAUGGUGCUGAUUGUAGUCUUGUCUUUGAUGGAUGUAUUUUCUUCACUAACUCGUGACAUAUGGCUGGUUAGAGGUGGGUGUUCGUGUUUACUGGGAUGGCCAAUACACUGUACUUUUUCUACUCUACCAAUAGAUUGUUGAUUCUAUUAAUUGAAGAACACAACAGAUACUAACAUAACAU